rnacentral:rRNA from 1 species
GUCCACGCCGUAAACGAUGAGUGCUAGGUGCUGCGGGUAUUGACCCCUGCGGUGCCGUAGCUAACGCGUUAAGCACUCCGCCUGGGGAGUACGGCCGCAAGGCUAAAACUCAAAGGAAUUGACGGGGGCCCGCACAAGCGGUGGAGCAUGUGGUUCAAUUCGACGCAACGCGCAGAACCUUACCUGGGUUAAAUCCACUCAAAGCUGGCAGAGAUGCCGGGGUGCCCUUCGGGGAAUGAGUGAGAAGGUGCUGCAUGGCUGUCGU